rnacentral:lncRNA from 1 species
CCUUACCCCAGCUGCCUGGCUGCCCUCAGCUUCCCAAAGCUCAAAUAAGAGGGGCCGGCGGCGCGGGGAAGAGGAGGAGCCAGGAGGCUCGGCCGCUCCAUUCACUCAGCAGCCCAAGCCCGGCCAGGCAGCGCGCGCUGCUCCUUGGGGGCGCCCUCGCAGCUGGGGUGAGGGCGGGUCCGAGGGAGCGUCCCUCUCGGAGACACCCUCCUCUUCAACCCAACACGCGCUCUCAGCUGGCCGGUGUGGCACAACCCUCCCCCCACCUCCCCUUCUUGGCCUUCGCCAGUGUGGGAGCCUCGUCUCACUGGAGAGUCCGUUCAGGCUCUGUCACUAUUUCCCAUUGGCCAAACGCUACUGGAAGUGGAAGGCUAAGAAGCCCGAUGGUGCAAUCCAUACACGUCAGCCUCUGGGGCCAGAGUGGGAUGAAAAAAGGCUCAUGAUGGAGCCCGAGUUAUAUGGCAGGAGAUGAUUUCCACGGUCUGUGAACACUGAAGAUGAGACUGGCUUGGGGCCACGUGCCAAACUGCACAGCCAGUAAGACCUGCUUCCAUCGACCCACAGCAGCUCUGACUUUUUUUUUUUAACAAUAGAGAAGAAACUACCACAGGGAAGAGAGAGAACAAUGGCAUUUUGACAAAUGGAACAAAGAUAGAGUGUGACUGACAAUUCAGGUCAGAAGGAAAAUUAAAGCACAGGAAGACUGAUGUUGGUCGGCCUCCUUGCCAAGAAGCAAAAACUCAGGGGGAGGCAUCCAGCCACAUGCGAACUGGCUCAACACUGGCCAUUUUGUUUGAGCAAUUUUGUUGGAUGUUUUCUACAAAAGAGCACUUUUUCUCGGACUUCAAACAUUCUUAUAUGCAGGAUCGACACCACACACUGCCAUCAUCCCCUGGAGUAGUAUCCUUGAGACCUGAGGAGGGGAAAACUGGAGGGACGUUGUGGGACUCCAUUGAGAAAUGUGGUCCUUUGUCUCCCUGGAGAUCUUUGAGGACGGUUCAGAUAAAGUUGCUGCCAGUGGAAGCAGCUAGGCUCAGAAACCUCCAGUUGCCCUUUCUAGACUUGUAAUCCUCUGAAAAAUGGAAAUUAGGAAGCGUUCAUUUAUGACCUUGAAAAAAAUCGUUUACAAAAGUAUAUUAUAUCACUAAAAUGAGCUGGAAAAAGGGUUUAUGUGAAAGUUCAUGUGAGAAACACAGCUAUUAGCACGCAUGCCAUUCCCCACCUUGACCUCAGCAGGAAUGUGUAAAUUGUAACAUAUGGAAUGUAAGCCCUGUCGAGAUGUUUCAUAAAUCUGCCUGGCAAUGAGCAUCACAAGGCCCUGCAUGAGAACAGGCCCCAGAAAUGGAGAGACAAAUAAAGAAACAUCAGAAAUAUUAAAAUGAGGACCAAAAGGAGUCCCAGAGAUGGGGUUUCACCGUGUUAGCCAGGAUAGUCUCAAUCUCCUGACCUCAUGAUCCGCCUGCCUUGGCCUCCCAAAGUGCUGGGAUUACAGGUGUGAGCCACCAUGCCCAGCCAAAUUUUCAAAUAAAUAAAUAAAUGUGUAGCAAAAGCAAAUGGGCUGGUUUGUUUUGGUUUGUGUGGUUUUUUUAAUGCCUGUAAUGAGAUUGGGCUGGGGGUGCAGGAAGCAGACCGAGCGAUAGAGGACCCAGGCUCAUUAUGGCUCUGCAGGAAAUAGCAUGGGUCCAGGGACUAAUGUGGAAAAGGAAAGCAUCUGGAGAUGGAGUCAAGAGAGAUGGUUUCUAACCACCAAUAAGCAUUUGACAAGGAAAGCCCCAUAACCUCCCUACUCAGCCUACCCUGUAAGGAUUCUGUGAGAGGCACCUGUAUUCACGGACUCUGUAAAGCUCUAGGGAAUCCUCAGGAGAAGCCUAUCUUACUGGCAUGUGAGAAUCCUCCAAGAUCUCACCAGCCCCACCAGCUUGAGAGUGGCCUAGAAGGACCUUCUGCCUCUGUCCUCCCAAAGUGACUCCUAUUAAAGGCAAAAUGUGUCCGAGUCAGCCCAUCUUAAAUGGCUGACUAGUGAAAUUUAUUUCUGCAUGCAACAGAAUACCUUUUUUUUUCCUCCCUUCUGCCUGGGUCUAUGACUUGGUUGUGCUCAGCAGAAGGAAGGUAGGAAAGGCACAUUUUGAAAGUGUAGCGAGCAUUUGAGCAGACUGAAUUCAAUUUUGGAUACAAAUGUCAAGGAAAGAUUCUCUUGGCUCUGAGCUCCUUGCUCACUGAGGCGCAGUGUGAUGCUCCAUUGAAAGACCUGCUGAUCUGGCCAGUGCUGGGCUGAUGAUAAUAAAGGGGGAGCGAGGGGCAGACCACUGAGCAGGAGGAGGAAUGACCUUCCAGAGGAUGUGUUGGAAAGACUCUGCCAGGCUCUCCUGCACACACUGGACAGAGGGCAAGAACCUGGAGAUCUGCUUCAGUCCCAGCUGUGCCAUGAAUAUGCUGUGCAUAUAGCCCCUUCCCUCAGCUUAGGCUUGAUUUUCCUGGCCCAUAAAAUGAAAGAACUGGAACAGAUAAUCUCUAAGGCUUUUUCUUUCCAAUAUUUUAUGAUUCUGGCAUUUAAAGCAUCUGCAGGUGCCGGAGAGGAAUGCCAGCAAAGAGUGUAUGAGAAAAAUUGGCAUAACUAUUGGGAGGGUAAUUUGAUAUUAGCUUUCAAAUUUUUUAUUAUUUCGUUUAAUUUUUUUGGGGGGGACAGCAUCUUGCCCUGCCACCCAGGCUAGUGUGCAGUGGCAUGAUCAUGGUUCACUGCAGCCUCUAUCUCUGAGGCUCAAGUGAUCCUCCCACCUCAGCCUCCCAAGUAGCUGGCACUACAAGCAUAUGCCACCAGGCCUGGCUAGUUUUUUUUUUUUUUUUUUUUUUGAGACAGAGUCUCACUCUGUCACCCAGGCUGGAGUGCAGUGGCUGAUCUCGGCUCACUGCAAGCUCUGCUUCCCAGGUUCACACCAUU